rnacentral:snRNA from 1 species
CGAUAUCAUCGAAGAGGA